AUUUCACGCUGUCAAGAAAAGCCUCUAGGAAGAGUAGUACUGCCCGUACCGCAAACCGACACAGGUAGAUGAGGAGAGAAUCCUAAGGUGAGCGAGAGAACUCUCGUUAAGGAACUCGGCAAAAUGACCCCGUAACUUCGGGAGAAGGGGUGCUCUAUUAGGGUGCAAGCCCGAGAGAGCCGCAGUGAAUAGGCCCAGGCGACUGUUUAGCAAAAACACAGGUCUCUGCAAAACCGUAAGGUGACGUAUAGGGGCUGACGCCUGCCCGGUGCUGGAAGGUUAAGAGGAGUGCUUAGCUUCGGCGAAGGUACGAAUUGAAGCCCCAGUAAACGGCGGCCGUAACUAUAACGGUCCUAAGGUAGCGAAAUUCCUUGUCGGGUAAGUUCCGACCCGCACGAAAGGCGCAACGAUCUGGGCACUGUCUCAACGAGAGACUCGGUGAAAUUAUAGUACCUGUGAAGAUGCAGGUUACCCGCGACAGGACGGAAAGACCCCGUGGAGCUUUACUGCAACCUGAUAUGGAAUGUUUGUACCGCUUGUACAGGAUAGGUAGGAGCCGAAGAGACGUGUGCGCUAGCAUACGAGGAGGCAAUGGUGGGAUACUACCCUGGCUGUAUGACCAUUCUAACCCGCCACGCUUAGCGCGUGGGGAGACAGUGUCAGGUGGGCAGUUUGACUGGGGCGGUCGCCUCCUAAAGAGUAACGGAGGCGCCCAAAGGUUCCCUC
rnacentral:rRNA from 1 species